GCAAAGCUUCUCUCUCUUCCAGCAUCUUCAACCCGUAAAAUAGAGCUAGGAUUUCCGCCUGCAAGGGGGAAGACGCGUAGACCUCUUUGGCGAACCUAUCGAUCAAGAUCCCGUCAGAAUCACGAAGAAUUCCAGCAACCACGUUGGGCGAAUCGAUUGCUGUCCACGAGCCGUCAACGUUCAUCUUCAGAUUUGGCGAUUGCGGUACCAUCCAGGUUGCAGUGCCUCAGGUUGGCCUUUGGUCUUCUGGAAUACGAAGUUGUUCCGAUUUUUCCAAACUUGCCAGAGGACUUCAACAACUAGUUCGCGAUCUGGUGCAUGCGACUCGGCUACAAGUGAAUGAAUAUGUGCUAAACUGUUUCAGGGUAUUUGGAGAAAAGAGGGCACACUGGAUCAGGGGGAAUUGCCAGGUGCCAGAGAUUUGUCCACAAUCUGCGAGGAGGCUGGUAGGAGGAGGAGGCUCUGUUUCGGUCCUGUGUUAUCUUGAAGAUUGACAUGACGUAUUGCGGCAAUGCUUGCACAACAGUCUUGACCAAGAUUUCUUUCCCGGCUUUCGCCAGUGAUUUAAGAUGGGCUGGAGGUUUCUUGGUCCCACCGAAUCAUAGAGAGCUCGGAAGUAGUCCGUGACGUGCUGCUUGAGAGUCUAAGGAUCCCUGGUCCAGUGAUGUUCAUCAAUCUUCAACAUGGGUAUAAAGAGAGAAGGAGGGGGCCGUGGUCCGACCCUACCUAAAGCAAAGAUUUCAGCAUUUGGGAAGGUAUAGAGAGUAUCAUUGAAAUCCCCCAUACACAACCACGCAAGGGAAAACGGGGGCGCUUUACUGUAUUCUCUAUUCUUUUUCCCAUUUGACGCAACAGAACAAGAACGGGCAAAGACAACUUGGUACAUCUCUGGGAACAAGCACGAAUUCAGGCCUGUGCAGGAAGGGAAAAUAAUCAAAGAAGAAAGGGAUGGUCAUGAAGUGAGUGAAGGGAUGGAAUUAAUAUAAUCAUUGAACGUGGACAGAGAUUCAGGCCUGUGGAGGUACCGUUUGGCAAUCAAAGCUACUUCUAUGACGAGAGAGGACGUCACUUCAUAUAUUCAUCUUUUGCAUACUCCAUCUUCUUCAACCUAUGCUCGAAAAUUUUUCUCAUUUCAAAUUCCAGAUUUCAACCAUAGUUCUCUCUCUCCUCCAACUCCAACGGUCCCUACUGUCAAAGCUCCCAGUCUAUUCAACUAUUGUCCCGAGAUGUACAUUAUUGGCUUCGAUGGUCUUCAGGAGUUGGAAGAGUAAGGCAAUCACUCUCUUCAAUUUUGGGACGACCCUGAGGAUGGCUCUGCUCAGGUUAUUCUUCUUCCUUACUUCAAAUCUCUUCACGUUCCUCAUCUUAUGAUCAGUGCUUUCCCAGUCAUUCUCAAGAGAUCCUUUCCAUUCACCAGGAUUCCAUUCUAGCAUAUGUUUGGUCGAAGAAAAGUUGUAGAUUUAGGUCUUGUUCCAGUUUUGGACUCUAAAUUCUAUCGGUGGUACCUGAGGAUAAAACCUCACAUAAUAAAUCUCCAGGAAGGAGCCCGAAUCGACUUAGCUUUAGAAUUUUCUUGCUUCGACUUAAUCCUAGAACCUGGCUUGUUAGGUUUUCCUUUUACCUUCUGCUCUUCCUCUGCUAAUUGGGCCUCUAUGGACCACCCUCCUCGACAUAUUUGCAAUUACUGGUUUCCCUCCUCGGGGUGCAAAGGCUCAUGAGAAGAGGUCUAAUCCAUUCAUCGAAAAUUUCGUCCGCUUGAUUUUCAUAUGUAGGAAAUAGACAAGGUAACCUUGUGAGCUUGAUAUCAUUCAUAAUGGAUAACAUAUUCACUUGCC